rnacentral:rRNA from 1 species
UACGGAGGGGACUAGCGUUGUUCGGAAUUACUGGGCGUAAAGCGCACGUAGGCGGAUUUGUAAGUCAGGGGUGAAAUCCCGGGGCUCAACCCCGGAACUGCCUUUGAUACUGCGAAUCUCGAGUCCGGAAGAGGUGAGUGGAAUUCCUAGUGUAGAGGUGAAAUUCGUAGAUAUUAGGAAGAACACCAGUGGCGAAGGCGGCUCACUGGGCCGGUACUGACGCUGAGGUGCGAAAGCGUGGGGAGCAAACAGG